CCCGACAGAAUGGCUCCCGCAAAGAAGGGUGGUGAGAAAAAGGGCCGUUCUGCCAUCAACGAGGUGACGACCCGAGAAUACACCGUCAAGAUUCACAAGCGCUUCCGUGGAGUGGGCUUCAAGAUGGGUGCUCCUCGGGGACUCAAAGAGAUUCGGAAAUUUGCUCUGAAGGAGAUGGGAACUCCACAUGUGCACAUUGAUGCCAGGCUCAGCAAAGCUGGUCGGCCAGAGUAAUAAGGAAUGUCCCACACCGAAUCCUGUGCCGUUGUCCAGUAAACGUAAUGAGGAUGAAGACUCACGAAAUAAGCUCUAUACUUUGGUUACCUAUGUACCUGUUACCACUUUCAAAAAUCUACAGACAGUCAAUGUGGAUGAGAACUAAUCGCUGAUCGUCACAUACAUCAAAUAAACUUAUAAAAUUGCAAAAACAAACAAACGAUUACAUAUCCAUACGAUGAAAUACUACACAGCAAUAAAAAUCAAUGAAGAACUAAUACGGUAAUCAACGUGGAUUACGCUGAACAAAGGAAGCAUAACACAGUGUAAUACAUCUUGUGUUCCAUUCACAUGAGAU